UACAGACUGAAUGGAAAGGAUUGCAGAAAGAGUGCUAUCUUUACCCUGAUGCUUUUAAUCCAGGUCUUAAUGAAGGAUAUGGAAGGGGAGCCUGUGGCUGUUGCUCCUACUCUGCAGAUUCAGAUGUUUGGCAAAGAAACUCUUCCCUCUUAUCCUUGUUACAAGCCAUAA
rnacentral:lncRNA from 11 species